UCGAGGGGAACAGGCCCUCGUUGUCCGGGGGCCUGAUCUUUUUCCAUCCGUGUGGACUCGUACCCUGUUGCUUCGGCGGGUCAGCCCCUAGGGGCGCCGCCGGGGAAUCGUGGCCCUUUUUUGAACUGCUGGUGUGUCUUUUGGAAAGGAGUCUGAAUCAGAAAUGGAAGAAUGAUACA
rnacentral:misc_RNA from 2 species